CGCUGGGGUCCCCUUCCACACCGUGGAAGCUUUGUUCUUUCACUCUUUGCAAUAAAUUUUGCUACUGCUCACUCUUGGGGUCCACACUGCCUUUAUGAGCUGUAACACUCACUGCAAAGGUCUGCAGCUUCACUGCUGUGCCCGCGAGACCACGAACCCACCAGAAAGCAAAAAACUCUGUACAUAUCCGACAUCAGAAGGAGCACACUCUGGACACGCCGCCUUUAAGAACUGUAGCACUCGCCGCAAGGGUCCGCGGCUUCAUUCUUGAAGUCAGUGAGACCAAGAACCCACCAAUUCUGGACACACUACUAGGUAAGAAUAAGGACCAGAGAAGAGAGAACCAAUGAAAAUUGUAGCCUCCAAACUUCAACAGAGAGUUUGAAUGAAACUCACUAGACUUCCGCCAUUUCCGUGUGAAGACCAAGGUGAAUAUAGUUUAAAAUAGAUGAUUGUGUUAAGUCAUGUUGUUAGUCAUAUUCAAUGCCGAGUUGAAUAUGGUUUAAAAUGUACAGUGGUGUUAAGAGUCAUGUUGUCAGUAUAUAUUGAGUAACCAUAUCUAAAGAUUUUACAAGACCUGAAUUUUUAAAUAAAUUGAAAAACAAUUCUGACCACAAGCAAGAAACUAAGCCAGGUGCUUUUUAUUCUUCUAGAAUUGCUGCUUCCAAAGCGAAACACCAUCACAAUAUCUACCCCACUCCUACGUGACACCUCAUGAAGAAUCUCAAACCUUCCUCCAAAAUGUCUUGAGAGCUAAGUUGUAGGCUAGAUUUGAAUGUCUCUCAGCAGAAUACCAAGCUUGCCAACAGUAUAGAAUUUACGUUAAUAUAAUCCAUUGGUACUACUUAUGUAUUAUCUUCAUCCACUGAAACACUAGAAUUUCAACAAUAAUUUAUUUUUUCUUUACAUACAUUCUCUAAAAAUAGAAGAGAGUUUUUAAAAUAUUGAAGUUGAAAAUAAGAAAACAUGAUUAUUUUUCUCCUAACCUUAAGCAUAUUCUCACACCUGAAAAGGGAUUUAAAAAAUGUUAAAAUCACGUUUUGUAUUACUUUGUUAAAAUUGCCCUCACAAUGGGAUACCAACUUCCCACAGUAAUAUUUUAAAGCAUUCUGGUGCUGUGAAGAAUAUUUAAUUAUGUGAUUAUUUUUCAUUAUGUGUGUAGUUAAUUGUCUCUACGUCAAAUGUAAAUCAGUUUGAACAAUAAAAGUGAAUGAGUAAUGUUCUUGCUGUGAGCAACAGAUGUCAUGUGGAUUUUGAUUUCUUAGUAAUUUAUAAAUAUUUCUUUUCCAGUGUAGAAAAGC
rnacentral:lncRNA from 1 species